AUUGCACGACUAUCCUUCUUAUUAGGUAUAUCAGUUGAAGUAUUUGUUUUCUGUGCUGCCGGAACUGACAUUAUUUUUACAUCCAGAGAACUUUCUUAUCAAAUCUUCAAGACCAAUUUCCUCGAAUUUGACAAACCGACGAAGAAAGUCUUAAUCAUGUUCAUGUUGAUAACAUCAAGAGAUAUUGUAGUUCGAUCUAGAGGCAUUGUGCCAAUAGACUUGAGUCUUGAAGUAUUCUUAGUGAUUCUAAAAACUUCUUACUCUUUUUUCACUGUUCUUCAA